AUUUCUACCUUACUUUUCUUGAAACUGUCAUUAGGUAGUACAUGCAUAUAUGACAAGAUGCUGGACAUUGGUUGAUAAAAUUACACCAAAAACUGAGGUGUGACUGGUUUCUGACUGUGCUCCAAUACAGAGUGCCCUCCGCUCUCCAGCUGAGCCCAAGAUGCUGACAAUACAGGAUCCCAGGCGAGGUCCUCGGUUGAAAAGGGAGAGGUUCCCGUGUCCACGUGGCAGAGCGAGCGACGGCGGAGUGGCUGGCUUCUCAGUGCCCCGCUGCUCAGACCUCUGGGGGAGCAUCCACAGGGCAGGCUGUGGGGUCCGACCCCGGGCCAGUGUCUAGGGGUGAGUGUUUAGGGCUCCAGAAGCCCCAGUGGCGUGUGUUACACGGUGCCUGGUUUGCGUCUGUAGGCAACUUGCGUUGACCAGCUCAGUUAGGCCCUCUACCUUGUCCGAGGGCAGAGGACUUUCUGUACCCCCGGUUCCUGCUGUGGCACACGGGGAGCACCGGAUCGCACACGGGGAGCACCGGAUCGCACACGGGGAGCACCGGAUCGCACACGGGGAGCACCGGAUCGCACACGGGAAGCACCGGAUCGCACACGGGGAGCACCGGAUCGCACACGGGGAGCACCGGAUCGCACACGGGGAGCACCGGAUCACACUCGGGCCCGGAGAGUGAGUGCAAAGUUUAGCUGA
rnacentral:lncRNA from 13 species